rnacentral:rRNA from 1 species
ACGAACGCUGGCGGCGUGGAUAAGACAUGCAAGUCGACGCUGAUUACAGGGUAGCAAUAUUCUGAGUGUGUCGGAGUGGCGCCAAGGGUGCGUAACACGUGGGUAAUCUGCCGUGAAGUCUGGGAUAACUCGCUGAAAGGCGAGCUAAUACCGGAUGUGAAAAUUGGAAGGCAUCUUUUGAUUUUCAAAGUUGGGGACCGCAAGGCCUGACGCUUCACGAUGAACCCGCGGCCUAUCAGCUAGUUGGUGAUGGUAACGGCUCACCAAGGCUAAGACGGGUAGCUGGUCUGAGAGGACGGCCAGCCACACUGGAAACUGAGACACGGUCCAGACACCUACCGGGUGCAGCAGUCGAGAAUUUUUCACAAUGGGCCGAAAGCUGAUGGAGCGACGCCGCGUGGGGGAUGAAUGGCUUCGGCCCGUAAACCCUGUCAUUCGCGAACAGUGCUCAUGGUUAAUACAUCAUGAGUUGAUAGUAGCGGAAGAGGAAGGGACGGCUAACUCUGUGCCAGCAGCCGCGGUAAUUACAGAGGUCCCAAGCGUUGUUCUGAUUUACUGGGCGUAAAGGGUGCGUAGGCGGGUCGGUAAGUCUGAUGUGAAAUCUCCGAGCUUACUCGGAAAUGGGCAUUGGAUACUAUUCGGCUGGAGAGUUGGAGGGGGGGACUGGGGAUACUUGGUGUAGCAGUGAAAUGCGUAGAUAUCAAGUGGAACACCAGUGGCGAAGGCGAGUCCCCUGGACAACUUCUGACCGCUGAGGCACGAAAGCUAGGGGAGCAAACAGGAUUAGAUACCUGGUCAGUCCUAGCCGUAAACGGUGCGUAUUUGCUGUAAAAGGAAUCGACCCCUUUUGUGGGUAGCAAACGCCGUUAAAUACGCCGCCUGGGAAGUACGGUCGCAAGAUUAAAACCUCAAGAAAUUGACGGGGCCUGCACAAGCGGUGGAGUAUGUGCUUAAUUCGAUGCCACGCGAAGAACCUUACCUGGGCUUGACAUCCAGGAAGCACUACGAAGUAGAGUGUGCCUUUUGGAACCCUGUGACAGAUGAUGCAUGGCCGUCGUUAGCUCGUGUCGUGAGAUGUUUGGUUAAGUCCAUCAACGAGCGCAACCCUUGUGAUUAGUUGGAUUUUUCUAAUCAGGCUGGCCCCGGUACGGGGAGGAAGGAGGGGAUGACUUCAGGUCAGUAUUCUCUUACGUCCUGGGCUAGAAACGUGAUACAUGGAGGUACAAUGCGCAGCGAAGCCGCGAGGUGAAGCAAAUCGCAUCAAAGCUUGUCCCAGUUCGGAUAGGAGGCUGAACUCGCCUCCUGUGAAAGUCGGAAUCGCUAGUAAUCGCAGGUCAGGCAAACUGCGGUGAAUACGUUCCCGGUCUUGUACACGCCGCCCGUCAACCAUGAAAGUGACCAACACCCGAAAGUCCGAUUCGUCGGCCUAAGGUGGGGGCAUGAUUGGGUUA